UGUUAAAAUUUCACUCAUUUCUACUAUUAAAAACUAACAUGGCUGACAGAUGAACCAAACUGUAGUGUGCCAUGUGUACCUCAUGCUAACAUAUAGGGACUAGUUUUUAAUAGUAGAAAUGGAUAAAAUUUUUAAUA
rfam:Gossypium hirsutum cultivar TM-1 chromosome 20, whole genome shotgun sequence